rfam:Pantoea gaviniae strain LMG 25382 Contig0026_, whole genome shotgun sequence.
GCUGGUAACCAGCACGGGCGUAGGAGUUUCUCCACGCCCGUGCAUGCAUGUUAAGGGCAGGAAAGAUAAC